UCUAGAGCCAACAUUUCACCCAGUAUGAGCAAAAUAUUAAAGAGGAACUGAUUAGAAAGGAGAAGCCCUGGUAACCAGUGACCAUGGAAAGGAAAACAGGAAGAGUACAUGAGAUCUUAAUGAGGCUUUAGUUUAGCAACAUGUUUUAUUCUCUUAGGGACUGAUGCAGUGUAAGAGUGAUUCCUCAACUCUGAAUUUAUCUGCUUUAUUGGUUUUGUGUCACUGCUGUAAUUUUAUUGAUUUUUUUUUUUUUCUAAGUAGUGAUACCAUAAGAGGCCUCUAAAGGUAGAAACAUACAGCAAGUAAACUCUUCUGCAUUUAUUUUACUUUGCAAGUCAGGCUCCGAGGCUUAAAUCUGGUGUUUCAAGGUGCACUUGGAGGCUUGUUGUGGCUUCAUAAAUGGCCAUUAAGUGGGAAUGGGAAUGGGAGAAUUUUGUCCUCAAGGCUCAUUUUUGAUGUCCCUCUGAUCUGAGAUUAUUACCACAGUAUGUUGCAUCAGUCAUGCUGGAUAUGCAGUAAAUGACCUCGACUGUUAGGAAACCAUUAAUCAACAAAUCAUCAACAAGAUAAAACUCAGUGUCUUUUCUUGUACUUUUGGACAUGAAGGACAGUGCCUGGUUAUUCCAGAGACACUAUAAUCGGAAGAAAAAUGCUGCCGACUUCCUGACAGUAAGAAUAUGUUGUGGACCAGACAUCUACUCAGAGAUGUCCUGGAGCAGAGAGCAAUGCUUCCUUUCUGGACAGCUGGACAGCUUACUUCUGACAUCCACAUUUGGGAAACACUCAGCUAUAUGCAACAUCACUGAAGUCAAUGAAUACCUCUAAGUGUGAGUAAAUGCUGUAUUUCACUCAAAGGCUACAUUGUACUAAGAGCUUUUCUGCCCCAUUAUAGGUUGUAACAAAUAUUUUUGCUAGGAGAAAUCAUGAGCU
rnacentral:lncRNA from 1 species